rnacentral:ncRNA from 2 species
CUCUUAUCGCGAGUGGUGGAGGGAACGGCCCGAGGAAACCCGGCAACCGGUCCGCGCCAGAGCGAUUCGCUAUAGCUGGAUACGGUGCCAAGUCCGACCCUUCGGCUGCACCGAAGGGAAAGAUGAGAG